rnacentral:rRNA from 1 species
UACGUAGGGUGCAAGCGUUGUCCGGAAUUAUUGGGCGUAAAGAGCUCGUAGGCGGUUUGUCGCGUCGGCUGUGAAAACUCGGGGCUCAACCCCGAGCCUGCAGUCGAUACGGGCAAACUAGAGCGUGGUAGGGGAGACUGGAAUUCCUGGUGUAGCGGUGAAAUGAGCAGAUAUCAGGAGGAACACCGAUGGCGAAGGCAGGUCUCUGGGCCACUACUGACGCUGAGAAGCGAAAGCAUGGGGAGCGAACAGG